rnacentral:tRNA from 1 species
GGAUUGUGGCUCAGUGAUAGAGCGCUUGCCUAGCACGGGCGAGAUACUAGGUUCAACCCCUAGCACCA